UGGCUCAGGACGAACGCUGGCGGCGUGCUUAACACAUGCAAGUCGAACGGAAAGGCCCUGCUUUCGUGGGGUGCUCGAGUGGCGAACGGGUGAGUAACACGUGAGUAACCUGCCCUUGACUUUGGGAUAACUUCAGGAAACUGGGGCUAAUACCGGAUAGGAGCUCCUGCUGCAUGGUGGGGGUUGGAAAGUUUCGGCGGUUGGGGAUGGACUCGCGGCUUAUCAGCUUGUUGGUGGGGUAGUGGCUUACCAAGGCUUUGACGGGUAGCCGGCCUGAGAGGGUGACCGGCCACAUUGGGACUGAGAUACGGCCCAGACUCCUACGGGAGGCAGCAGUGGGGAAUAUUGCACAAUGGGCGGAAGCCUGAUGCAGCAACGCCGCGUGCGGGAUGACGGCCUUCGGGUUGUAAACCGCUUUCGCCUGUGACGAACCGUGAGUGACGGUAAUGGGUAAAGAAGCACCGGCUAACUACGUGCCAGCAGCCGCGGUGAUACGUAGGGUGCGAGCGUUGUCCGGAUUUAUUGGGCGUAAAGGGCUCGUAGGUGGUUGAUCGCGUCGGAAGUGUAAUCUUGGGGCUUAACCCUGAGCGUGCUUUCGAUACGGGUCGACUUGAGGAAGGUAAGGGAGAAUGGAAUUCCUGGUGGAGCGGUGGAAUGCGCAGAUAUCACGAUGAACACCAGUGGCGAAGGCGGCUCUCUGGGCCUUUCCUGACGCUGACGAGCGAAAGCGUGGGGGAGCGAACAGGGUUAGAUACCAUGGUAAGUUCACGCUGUAAACGGUGGUGUACUAGGUGUGGGGUCCCUUGCACGGGGUUCCGUGCCGGUAGCUAUCGCUUUAAGUACCCCGCCUGGGGAGUACGGCCGCAAGGCUAAAACUCAAAGGAAUUGACGGGUCCCCGCACAAGCGGCGGAGCAUGCGGAUUAAUUUGAUGCAACGCGUAGAACCUUACCUGGGUUUGACAUGGAUCGGGAGUGGUCAGAGAUGGGUGUGCCUCUUUUGGGGUCGGUUCACAGGUGGUGCAUGGCUGUCGUCAGCUCGUGUCGUGAGAUGUUGGGUUAAGUUCCGCAACGAGCGCAACCCUUGUUCACUGUUGCCAGCACGUUAUGGUGGGGACUCAGUGGAGACCGCCGGGGUCAACUCGGAGGAAGGUGGGGAUGACGUCAAGUCAUCAUGCCCCUUAUGUCCAGGGCUUCACGCAUGCUACAAUGGCUGGUACAGAGAGUGGCGAGCCUGUGAGGGUGAGCGAAUCUCGGAAAGCCGGUCUCAGUUCGGAUUGGGGUCUGCAACUCGACCUCAUGAAGUCGGAGUCGCUAGUAAUCGCAGAUCAGCAACGCUGCGGUGAAUACGUUCCCGGGGCUUGUACACACCGCCCGUCAAGUCAUGAAAGUUGGUAACACCCGAAGCCGGUGGCCUAACCGUUGUGGGGGAGCCGUCGAAGGUG
rnacentral:rRNA from 1 species